GGCUGAGUAACACGUGGAGAACCUGCCUCCUCCCCCGGGAUAGCCGCCCGAAAGGACGGGUAAUACCGGAUACCCCGGGGUGCCGCAUGGCACCCCGGCUAAAGCCCCGACGGGAGGGGAUGGCUCCGCGGCCCAUCAGGUAGACGGCGGGGUGACGGCCCACCGUGCCGACAACGGGUAGCCGGGUUGAGAGACCGACCGGCCAGAUUGGGACUGAGACACGGCCCAGACUCCUACGGGAGGCAGCAGUGGGGAAUCUUGCGCAAUGGGGGGAACCCUGACGCAGCGACGCCGCGUGCGGGACGGAGGCCUUCGGGUCGUAAACCGCUUUCAGCAGGGAAGAGUCAAGACUGUACCUGCAGAAGAAGCCCCGGCUAACUACGUGCCAGCAGCCGCGGUAAUACGUAGGGGGCGAGCGUUAUCCGGAUUCAUUGGGCGUAAAGCGCGCGUAGGCGGCCCGGCAGGCCGGGGGUCGAAGCGGGGGGCUCAACCCCCCGAAGCCCCCGGAACCUCCGCGGCUUGGGUCCGGUAGGGGAGGGUGGAACACCCGGUGUAGCGGUGGAAUGCGCAGAUAUCGGGUGGAACACCGGUGGCGAAGGCGGCCCUCUGGGCCGAGACCGACGCUGAGGCGCGAAAGCUGGGGGAGCGAACAGGAUUAGAUACCCUGGUAGUCCCAGCCGUAAACGAUGGACGCUAGGUGUGGGGGGACG
rnacentral:rRNA from 1 species